rnacentral:lncRNA from 1 species
AACUUCAUAAUUUAAUUUCUCUUAUACAUAUAGUAUAGCAUUACCAUGCCUCAAGCUUGCAUCUCAAUGGCGAGCUCGAUCUUUGCAGUAGCUAGCAGUAGUAACUAACGGCACGCACAAAGCAUCGAUGAGCACCAUGCAUGGAUCAUCACAGCGAAGACGUGCUUAGCUUGCGUAACCAGUAUGUAUCGUCGGAGUAGCUAGCCGAUGAAUUAGUAGCUGUAGUUCUUGACGAACAUGCCCUCCUUGGCCUCGGCGGCCUCGCCGUCGGAGGUGUACUUGCCGAGCUGCGCCAGCGAGUUGGCCUUGGCGCGCAGCAGCAGCGCGUCCUGCGCCGCCUUGACGUUCUCCGGCACGCCGCCCCACGUCUUGAGGCAGGUGUUCUGCAGCGCCCGCGCGUAGGAGAAGGACACGUGCCACGGGUUGGGCCCCUGGUUCAUGGCGUUGAGGUUCUGCGUCGCCUCCACCUCCGACUGCCCGCCGGAGAGGAACAUGAUGCCGGGGACGGAGGGCGGGAUGCGGCGGUGGAGGAGCUUCAGGGUGUACUCGGCGACCUGCUCCGGCGUGGCCCGGUCCUUAGCCUCGGCGCCCGGCGUCACCAUGGAUGGCUUGAGCAGGAUGCCCUCGAACAUGACGUUGUUCUCCGCCAUGGCGUAGAAGGUCUCGGCCCACACCUUCUGCGCCACCUCGAAGGUCCGCUCGAUGCCGUGCUCGCCGUCCAGCAGGAUCUCCGGCUCUACGAUCGGCACAAGUCCGUUGUCCUGCUCG